rnacentral:misc_RNA from 1 species
GGAAAGAAGAACGAUAACUCUUAUUAUACCUAUAAACAAUCAUGUUACGUUGAAAGAACUUUUGAUUUAAACGUGUUUUAUUUUGAAUGAAUCCCAUAGAUUGUUGCGAGUCAUGUGUCGAGUGAUGUGAAGUACGUCUGACAGUGAUUGCAGGUAAGUUCACGUUCAUUUCACCGAUAAGUGCUGGUUAUUCAGAGGCCUGCAUUGGUGCACCAGUGCAGGCCAACAAGCCGCUAAAUGCAGGGGAAUAGAGAGAUAUAUACCCUAUCUAUAAUAUAAUAUAUAGAUAGGGUAUAUAUCUCCUUAUUCCCCUACAUUUAGCGGCUUGUUAUAUAGAUAGGGUACACAUUUUUUUAUUCCCCUACAUUUAGCGGCUAUUGAUAGAAAUUCAGAGGCCAGUGGUUAGUGCCAGUUGCAUGCUUCAAAUUUUGUAAAUAAAAAUUCACCGAAACCCUAGAUUAAUUUAUCUUGUAUAAGAAUGAUUAAAUUGAAUUAUUUUCUGUCACGUAUUUUUUCUAGUUUUUAAAAUUUUCACCAGCAAGAAAAAUGUCAGUAAAUUAUUCGGAUGGAUUAUCUCCAUAUGAGCACAAAGGAAAAUGUGGCCAACCAGAAAAGUUUGACCCACAAGAUUUAGUGGCAGAGAAAGUGAAGAAGCUAGCUGAGUUUGUCAGGGCAAGUCGACACCUUGUGGUGCACACUGGAGCAGGCAUUAGUACAUCUGCGGGCAUACCAGACUUUAGAGGGCCAAAAGGAGUCUGGACUCUUGAACAAAAAGGUGAAAAACCCAAUGUUAGUGUAACCUUUGAUAAUGCACGACCAACGCUGACCCAUAUGGCACUGGUUGCCUUAGAGAGAGCAGGAAUUGUCAAGUAUGUAAUCACACAGAAUGUGGAUGGUCUUCACAUUCGAUCUGGUUUCCCUAGAAACCGACUAUCUGAGCUCCAUGGUAACAUGUUUGUUGAGGAGUGUGACAAAUGUGGAUCUCAGGUGAGUAAUACAAGUAUAUAACUUAUUUGGUUUGUAUGUUGAACAUUAUUUUUUUUUUUUACAGCAUUUGGGACAAUUAAUAACAACAUACAAGUUACUCCCCUUAUCAUAUACAUUAUGCUUGACAUGAAAGAUGAAAUAAGGUUUACUUACAUCUGUUUAAUUUCUUCCAUCUGAACCUGUUUGUAGUUCAUAAACAGUUCUGCUCUACCCACCAUGGGGCUGAAACCAACAGGAAACCCUUGCUUAUUCAUUAAAAGUGGAGACAGGAAAUGCAGGUAAGCUUUGAAAUGCAAAUUGAGGUCCUAUCAUAUGUCUCUAAUGAAAAAUAUGCAUGCUGUCUGAUUGAAUUUUAUCGCAUUUUAUUGAAUUUUUACAAAUAUUUGCAGAGGACGACUCAGGGACACAAUACUUGAUUGGGAAGAUUCACUACCCGAGAGAGACCUGGAACUAGCAGACAAACAUGCUAAGGAGGCUGACCUGAAUCUUACCCUGGGAACAUCUUUGCAAAUAGUUCCAAGCGGAAAUCUUCCACUAGCCGCUAGGAAAAAAGGGGGCAAGUUAGUCAUUGUGAAUCUUCAGCCGACCAAGCAUGACAGUAAAGCCACGCUGAAGAUCCAUGCAUUUGUGGAUGAAGUGAUGUCAGCAUUGUGCAGUGAACUUGGUAUAGCUAUCCCAGAAUUCCAAAAGCCAAGUGCAUUGCUGGAAUCUGUGCACACUGUCAAAGAAAGGAAGUUGAAUGUUUUUGUGAAAGAUUUUGAACUCUCUCAGGAUUCAGGGGUUAAUGGUGUGAAAACUAAGCAUGAGAUUAAGAAGGAAGAGGAGGAAACAAAAUUAAAUGAUCAGAAUUUAUCACAAGAAAAUGACAGGUGUCCUGUGAAGAUCAAAAGUUUAAAUGAACCCAAGGUACAUUCUGAAACUUGCGGCAUUUUACAAAAAGGUGAACAAAAUUCUUCAGAACAUUGCAAGAAUGAAGACCAGUGUGAACAAAAUUUGGUUGUUAAAUCUGAACAAGAGGACAAUGAAAGCAUCAAUGAACAAAUAAUUGGACAAUCAGAGGACCAAAAUAUUGAUCUCAAUGGAGAACCCUCACUUAAAAGAAAAAUUUUACCGCAUGUUUUUAAUGCUGAUCAAAUUCUUAACAGUGUAAAAGUAGCAAAGCUGACCUGAUUAUUAUUUUGUUCACAAUUCAAUUCAUAGAUAAAAUAAAUUCUUGUAUGUACAUUGUGUAAAUAUACAAUAAAUAUCAAGAAUAGCGCAACAGUAUGUACAUUGUCGUUUUGUGCUCUGUAAGUAACUAUACCUAUAGUGGUUAAACAUACAUGUACAUGUAUCUCACUUUGCUGAGGAAUAAAAAAUAUAAUUGUUUUUGUUAUCAGUUUGUUUUAUAUGUAACAAGUUUGUUAAAACCUGAAUCUCUUUAUUGUAUGUUUCAUUGAUCUGUGAAGAAGAUAAAUAUUCAUGCAUAGAAGAUAAAAAAGAAUACACCAC